CUUCGCUGGCAUUGUGCUGCUCCUGCAGAGGUCCGGUAAAGUUACCUCCGGGUAUUGUUCGUCUUCCGACGGGGCAAGAUCAAAGCAAGCUGACUGACGGACUUACGGUCGUCUCAAAACGGGGGUGGGGGCGGGGCCAACAUUCUCCAAGACGAAAUGAAAAAAUAAGGCCUAAGGAAGGUAUCAGACACACACGGUGUUCAUGUUGUGUGAUUUACCACGUGGCCAUCAACAACAUAUGAGGAGACUGCGUCCUUCAACAUAAUGGCUGUCUGGGUGAAAGGUCAGUGGAGAGGAUGAUGGAAACUCUUUCCCAAGAAGUUUUUCCACACCCAAUUUAAGUCUUCUCUAAAAUAAAAAUAAAAAAUAAAGUUCUUUCU